rnacentral:rRNA from 1 species
UGGGGAAUUUUGGACAAUGGGCGAAAGCCUGAUCCAGCAAUGCCGCGUGUGUGAAGAAGGCCUUCGGGUUGUAAAGCACUUUUGUCCGGAAAGAAAUCCUUGGCUCUAAUACAGUCGGGGGAUGACGGUACCGGAAGAAUAAGCACCGGCUAACUACGUGCCAGCAGCCGCGGUAAUACGUAGGGUGCAAGCGUUAAUCGGAAUUACUGGGCGUAAAGCGUGCGCAGGCGGUUUGCUAAGACCGAUGUGAAAUCCCGGGCUCAACCUGGGAACUGCAUUGGUGACUGGCAGGCUAGAGUAUGGCAGAGGGGGGUAGAAUUCCACGUGUAGCAGUGAAAUGCGUAGAGAUGUGGAGGAAUACCGAUGGCGAAGGCAGCCCCCUGGGCCAAUACUGACGCUCAUGCACGAAAGCGUGGGGAGCAAACAGGAUUAGAUACCCUGGUAGUCCACGCCCUAAACGAUGUCAACUAGUUGUUGGGGACUUCAUUUCCUUAGUAACGUAGCUAACGCGUGAAGUUGACCGCCUGGGGAGUACGGUCGCAAGAUU